GACGAACGCUGGCGGCGUGCUUAACACAUGCAAGUCGAACGGAAAGGCCCUGCUUUUGUGGGGUGCUCGAGUGGCGAACGGGUGAGUAACACGUGAGUAACCUGCCCUUUACUUUGGGAUAACUUCAGGAAACUGGGGCUAAUAACGGAUAGGAGCUCCUGCUGCAUGGUGGGGGUUGGAAAGUUUCGGCGGUUGGGGAUGGACUCGCGGCUUAUCAGCUUGUUGGUGGGGUAGUGGCUUACCAAGGCUUUGACGGGUAGCCGGCCUGAGAGGGUGACCGGCCACAUUGGGACUGAGAUACGGCCCAGACUCCUACGGGAGGCAGCAGUGGGGAAUAUUGCACAAUGGGCGGAAGCCUGAUGCAGCAACGCCGCGUGCGGGAUGACGGCCUUCGGGUUGUAAACCGCUUUCGCCUGUGACGAAGCGUGAGUGACGGUAAUGGGUAAAGAAGCACCGGCUAACUACGUG
rnacentral:rRNA from 1 species